UUUGUAGGUGGUGCUUUGCCCUUGGUGACACUGAGCUGUUGGAGUGGGUGCCUCAGGUCCCUGGGAUUUGUGCUGAAGGACUUUCUCCCAGCCUUGCACUGCUGGGGUUGGUUUGCUGCUGUGGGAAAGGGCAUGCCCAGGGCACCUUUCCAUAGGCUUUAACUCUCUUCUGGCAGGGCUGUGUGCUCUGGUCAGGUGACAUCUGUGAGCUCCAACAGCUUUUGUGAGGUUGGUAGGAGACAGUCCCCGGGAAGUGUAAUUAAAGGAUGAUGCCAGGAGCCUCAUGGGCAUGCAAACCUCACAGGGUGAGGAACAAGGAGCAUCUGCAGGUGACCAGUUCUUGGAUGGACUCAAGGGUCCUUUUAUCCCAAACACUGGAACAACCAUAAAGGCAGGGGCUGUCUUUGACCAGCGGGACUGGAGGGCUCAAUGCCCAGUAGGACCAGGUUUCAUGACAGAAGAUGAUGGAUUUUGAGGUCAGCACCCCAAUUCUUAUGUGCUUGUGAUGGAAGUGACCUAGAGUUACUAACAGCUUUGGCUGGAAAAGAAGUAGUUGGCAGGAAUAGGUAGUGUCUUCAAAAAUCAAUCACAGGAAAAACAUUUGAUGCAAAAGAUAAGCUAUUUUUAUUGACUCAAAUCUGAAAAGUGGAGGAAAAAAGUCAGUACUUUUAGUUCUCUUUCACAAAAGUCCUCUGCAAAGUUAAGUGAUUUCUAGAGGAAAUGGAGUUGUAUUCAACGACAAAGUCCAAUAUUUUUUUUAAGGAAAAAAAAGGUCUAGAAAUAUUUUGGCCAUUGCAAGUCCUAAAAGUUAUAAAUUGAGAUGGUCAUAUAAGCCAGUGUACCUCUGCAGUGGGUAAAAGUGGCCUGAAGGGUGGUCUGGCUACAGCUGUGGGUUUAAGAAGAGAUGAUAAACUUGAUUUCCCACUGAGACUCUGAGGACUAUAAUCAUGUCAUGGAGAUGAAGCUAUCUACAACAGCUUGCUCUGCUAGUGUUUGUUUGGAAUCAAGGAUGUUAUUAAUUUAGGUGAUAGAACUAAUUGAGACAAAUAGGAAGUUUAU